GCCGUGAGCUCAAAAUGAAAGUCAAUGCGAUCUAGUGUUCUUCAAUUUGGUGUUUCACAGAAGAAAAGUUUGGAAGUACAUAAGGGUGAGUAAUUGAAAACUGAAUUUUCAUUUUCAUGUGAACUACCCUUCAAGAGGAAGAGACUGAGCAAAAAAAAAAAAAAUAGCAGUAAUAGCAAAUCUCCGCCUCUUGCGAGGGUGUAAUGUGUAACAUUCAAAUAAAAGCCCGAGAUCGACUCUGCUGUUCACAUUUACAUCCCAGAGAAUCGACAGACGCAGAGAACAAUCAUCUGUGGCAAACGUGACCUGAGUAUGGCUUCCAAAACUCAAAUACUACUACUGCUGCUAGUGGCUGUAAUGAUUGCAAGCUAUGGUCUAACCAAUGCAGCCACAGCCAACAGCACCGCUGGAUCUCUUUCUCCUGUGGGGAUGGUGGGUCUGCCUGGUCUUCUGAUCUACACGCUCACCUCCGCUGCGCUUCUCAAACUCUUCCAGCUCAUCUGAUCAUCAUGAUCAUCGUCUCCCUCAGUCUGUCACACAGCUAAACCUACGGGAUGUGCCUGUGACUGUGUCCGUUUUUAGCAGAUUGUGUCAAUUACUUAUUGUUUUGCAGAUACUUACUGCUCUGAUAAAAUGUAUAAUAAUAUAAAAAUAAAAAUUUAGAAAAAAUAUAUAUAUGAUUGUAUAUGAAGACUUAAGAAUAAAGAAGGAAAAAACA